UUAAAUAUGCAAAAAAUCUGAAAACUGGCUUCCUUUUCUUCAUGCUAAAUCUGAUUGAUUUGUUUUGGUCUUUUGAUUUUGGGGAGCAAGUCGUUUUUUCUGCACACAUGAAUGAACACACGCUAGCUGUUAGCAAGGUCAAACCGUGACACAAGAUCUUCCAUGUGAGAGUCACAUGACCUUCAGCAGGACGAGCGCUUUGAUGUGUCCCAACUUCCUGUUUCAACAGGAAACACGUCACCACAGGAACGAAACUGUGGGCAGCUGUGAAAAUGAACUGCACUGAAUGCUAACGAGAAACCACUCACACACUCACACACACUCACACAGACACUCACACACUCCGUCCGAUAUUGUGGCAAACCGCUGAGAGAACAGGAAGUUCCCAGAACAGUACAGAUUUCCUCAGAAACUGUCUGACACCACAAAGGCUCAUGGGAAACCCCUAAUCUGAGACGAGCCGUACCUCUGGACGCACGCUGAUGAUGAUGAUGAUGAAGAAGAGUCUGCAGUCGCUUCAGCAGAGUUUACAGUCCUCCUCAGGGUAUCAAGGUCAAAGGUCAAGCUUUGAUUGGCACUGCCACCUUUAAACCAGACAGCAGGAGAGGUCAUAUCAAAGACACUACCCAGAAUGCACUGCAGCUGACGGCUCUGGUUCUCCGCUAGUCUUCCACACAACUAAGAGCUUAUGCAUUGCUGGACAGAACGGUUAGCAUGUUCUGAGAAAUUCUAUUGCAAUUCUAUUUUCUGUCAUCUUUUGAUGUGACACUGUGAGACGCCAAUCAAAAUCUCUGCGAGAUUACAAUCAAUCAAUCAAUCAAUCAGAAGCUGUAGAAACCAGCCGAUUCAAAUUCUGCGACACACAAUCGACCAAUCGUUGAGGAGUUCGUCGGUUUCACUUGCUCGUGUGUUUCGUGACUGACAGCAGUUCUCAGAUCAGAUAUUGUGAUGCCAGAUCUUCAGCUGUCAGGAGAAGAGCCUUUCUUCUUUCUGUAAGCGCAUGAAUCCGUGUUGUGUUUGUGGACGAGCAAUAACACAGAUGUAGGACAGAAUCGCCGUACUGUAAUCAUGAUCAUGGACCGAUCCGGAGUGUCUGUUAGCGAUUGUUUAGUGUUACGGGCCACAA
rnacentral:lncRNA from 1 species